GCCAUAUGCUUCACUAUAUACUGAUUUUUAUGUGUGAGAAGCAAGCUGAUGGCUCCCAACCACACAGGGAAGCUGUGACACUUGCUCCUGCUGCACCAUGCACUAAUUCAGUACGUUAGCACUGGUCACCUACAUGAAAUAUAAUUAAGCAUCUGAAUGCCAUUGUUGCCACCUUUGAUUAUAACUAUGAAAAUGAAUGUGAUGAUGGUGACAGGAUGGCAAAUAUUAUAUAUGUUAAAUUCCAAAACAUAAGAGGCAUUCAUAAUAAUAAAUGACACUUAUGUAGUAUUUCAUAAAACAAUCUCAGAGUACCUGACAAAAUGAUGCAAAACUACUUAUUAGAAGCAUUGCUUCACCCACCACUGAAACACAGCCCGCAGCAGAAAGAAGGCAACAACCUUUAAACAUCACAGAACAUAUUAUGACAGAGGAGGUUGAAUAAUGUAUCCAGUGUUAAGCAGAAGGGAAUUCCAGACAAGUAAAACAAAAUUUCCCAGAAGUAAAUGACCUCCAGCUAAAAAUUUGUUUCAUUCAAGAACUGCCACAAGCCUCUAGCAUACAGAGGAUACCACCCUUAUCAACAGACACCUGAAAGAAAAGAAUUAUGUUUACAGGUAUCUUAGUGAUCAUAUAUACAUCCAAGUACCUUCUGGGCUCCUCAGAAUUCUUCACCAACAGGACCUGUAUGCUUCAACUUAUGACCAAACUAACCACAGCACAAGACCUACUGCAGAGGGGGUGAAAAAACCCAAGGCCACUGCCCAGCAAUGGCUUUGCCACCGUGCUGAAGCUCACUUGGCAGGGGGAGCUGAACCUCCCUCGCCCAGAUUCAGCCUGCCUUCCGCAGCAUCCCGAGCCGCUGCCAGGGGAGCAGGGAUCCUGCUGCAAGGGUGCCUUGGAACAGGCAGCAAGCCUCAGGCCACCGAGAACAGGCAUGGUGGAGCGUCGAGUCCCAACAGGGCACACAGGAUGGUGGAAGAGGCACUUCCAAGUAUCUGCACACAGGAUGACAAUGACUGAUUCUGGAAGAAAAUGCAGGUCCAGAGCAUGAAAUGAAAACACAGCUAACACCAAGUUAGAACAAUGGAAUCAUUAAGGCUUCGAAAGAUUACCAAAAUCAUCGAGUCCGGCCUUUGAUUGAACACUACCGUAUCAACCACAUCGUGGCACUACGUGCUAUGCCGCUUCCUCG
rnacentral:lncRNA from 1 species